rnacentral:tRNA from 1 species
GGGAAUGUAGCUCAGUGGGAGAGUACUUGCCUAACAUGCAUAUGGCCCUGGGUUCGAUCCCUAGUGCCCUCC